UAGAAGGUUCAUAUAGCUUUGGGUUACACCUGUUCUCAUCUCGAACACAGAAGUUAAGCCUAGUUAGCCAAUUAGAGUACUGUUCUUUGAACGGAAAAUUCCUGGUGGCCUUCAUU
rnacentral:rRNA from 1 species